rnacentral:rRNA from 1 species
UACGUAGGGGGCAAGCGUUGUCCGGAAUUAUUGGGCGUAAAGAGCGUGUAGGCGGCCAGAUAAGUCCGCUGUGAAAUCUCGAGGCUCAACUUCGAGCUGUCGGUGGAAACUAUCUGGCUAGAGUCCGGAAGAGGAGAAUGGAAUUCCUGGUGUAGCGGUGAAAUGCGCAGAUAUCAGGAAGAACACCCGUGGCGAAGGCGGCUCUCUGGGACGUGACUGACGCUGAGACGCGAAAGCGUGGGGAGCGAACAGG